rnacentral:rRNA from 1 species
UGGGGAAUUUUGGACAAUGGGCGCAAGCCUGAUCCAGCCAUGCCGCGUGCGGGAAGAAGGCCUUCGGGUUGUAAACCGCUUUUGUCAGGGACGAAACGCUCCGAGCUAAUACCCCGGAGUAAUGACGGUACCUGACGACUAAGCACCGGCUAACUACGUGCCCGCAGCCGCGGUAAUACGUAGGGUGCAAGCGUUAAUCGGAAUUACUGGGCGUAAAGCGUGCGCAGGCGGUUUGUUAAGACAGAUGUGAAAUCCCCGGGCUUAACCUGGGAACUGCGUUUGUAACUGGCAGACUGGAGUGUGGCAGAGGGGGGUGGAAUUCCAAGUGUAGCAGUGAAAUGCGUAGAUAUUUGGAGGAACACCGAUGGCGAAGGCAGCCCCCUGGGCUAACACUGACGCUCAUGCACGAAAGCGUGGGGAGCAAA